rnacentral:rRNA from 1 species
AGUGAACGCUGGCGGUAGGCCUAACACGUGCAAGUCGAACGGCAGCACAGUAAGAGCUUGCUCUUACGGGUGGCGAGUGGCGGACGGGUGAGGAAUACAUCGGAAUCUACUUUUUCGUGGGGGAUAACGUAGGGAAACUUACGCUAAUACCGCAUACGACCUACGGGUGAAAGCAGGGGAUCUUCGGACCUUGCGCGAGUGAAUGAGCCGAUGUCGGAUUAGCUAGUUGGCGGGGUAAAGGCCCACCAAGGCGACGAUCCGUAGCUGGUCUGAGAGGAUGAUCAGCCACACUGGAACUGAGACACGGUCCAGACUCCUACGGGAGGCAGCAGUGGGGAAUAUUGGACAAUGGGCGCAAGCCUGAUCCAGCCAUACCGCGUGGGUGAAGAAGGCCUUCGGGUUGUAAAGCCCUUUUGUUGGGAAAGAAAAGCAGCAGGUUAAUACCCCGCUGUUCUGACGGUACCCAAAGAAUAAGCACCGGCUAACUUCGUG